UACGUAGGGUGCGAGCGUUGUCCGGAUUUAUUGGGCGUAAAGGGCUCGUAGGCGGCCUGUCGCGUCGGGAGUGAAAGCCCACUGCUUAACGGUGGGUCUGCUUCCGGUACGGGCGGGCUAGAGUAUGGCAGGGGAGACUGGAAUUCCUGGUGUAGCGGUGGAAUGCGCAGAUAUCAGGAGGAACACCGAUGGCGAAGGCAGGUCUCUGGGCCACUACUGACGCUGAGAAGCGAAAGCAUGGGGAGCGAACAGG
rnacentral:rRNA from 1 species